rnacentral:snRNA from 1 species
GGAUGUGGGGGUGAUCUAGCUACUACAUCUGUCACGCCAUUGAUCGCCAGGGUUGAUUCAGCUGAUCUGGCUGGCUAGGUGGAUGUCCCCUUCCUCACUCACCGCUCCACCGGCGUCCCUCCCGAAACUGCGCUCUGGAUCGAAGAGGACGACCUUCCCCGAUAGAGGAGAGGACCGUUCUUUGGUCAAGGGUAUAGGAGUAGCUGGAACCUGCUAGAACCUCCAAAUAAGCUCUCACGGUCCAUUUGUAGAAGAAUGUAGAUAGUCAAGCUUCCAAGACUCCAGACACAUCCAAUGAAGCGCUGCAUGUGGCAGUCUGCCUUUCUU